rnacentral:rRNA from 1 species
UACGGAGGGUGCAAGCGUUAUCCGGAUUCACUGGGUUUAAAGGGUGCGUAGGCGGGCAGGUAAGUCAGUGGUGAAAUCCCGAAGCUUAACUUCGGAACUGCCGUUGAUACUAUCUGUCUUGAAUACCCGGGAGGUGAGCGGAAUAUGUCAUGUAGCGGUGAAAUGCUUAGAUAUGACAUAGAACACCAAUUGCGAAGGCAGCUCACUACAGGGUCAUUGACGCUGAGGCACGAAAGCGUGGGGAUCAAACAGG